GAUGAACGCUGGCGGCGUGCCUAAUACAUGCAAGUCGAGCGAACGGACGAGAAGCUUGCUUUUCUGAUGUUAGCGGCGGACGGGUGAGUAACACGUGGAUAAUCUACUUAUAAGACUGGGAUAACUUCGGGAAACCGGAGCUAAUACCGGAUAAUAUUUUGAACCGCAUGGUUCAAAAGUGAAAGGCGGUCUUGCGGUAACUUAUAGAGGGAUCCGCGCUGCAUUAGCUAGUUGGUAAGGUAACGGCUUAUCAAGGCAACGAUGCAUAGCCGACCUGAGAGGGUGAUCGGCCACCCUGGAACUGAGACACGGUCCAGACUCCUACGGGAGGCAGCAGUAGGGAAUCUUCCGCAGUGGGCGAAAGCCUGACGGAGCAACCCCGCGUGAGUGAUGAAGGUCUUCGGAUCGUAAAGCUCUGUUAUUAGGGAAGAACAUAUGUGUAAGUAACUGUGCACAGCUUGACGGUACCUAAUCAGGAAGCCACGGCUAACUACGUG
rnacentral:rRNA from 1 species